UUUUAGGACCAUGCCCAAGGCACAUGGAGGUUCCAAGGCUAGGGGUCAAAUCAGAGCUGUAGCCGCUGGCCUACACCACAGCCACAGCAAUGCCAGAUCUGAACCGCGUCUGUGACCUACACCACAGCUCAUGGCAACACCAGAUCCUUAACCCACCAAGUGAGGCCAGGGAUCAAACCUGUGUUCUCAUGGAUGCUAGUCAGGUUCAUUUCCACUGAGCCACAACAGGAACUCCCUGAUUUCUAUUUUUCACAUUAAUAAAUUGACGCUUGGAGAGCUUCAGUAAUAAUUUCCUAACUUUAUGACAGUGCUUUAUGGUUACACUGUCAUUUGAGCCUCAGGAAAUGAACAUUGCUUUUCCAGCCACUGGUCUUUGGCUGUAAAUUAUCCACAACAUUUCCCUAGGAGAGGAAGGGGCUCAAAGCAGCACAACUGUGGCUUUGUCAGGGAGAGGUCUCAUGAGCUUUUUCAGUGGUCAUCUCUGCUUCCCAUGACACAGUGCUGGACUCCUGGGUCUCUCCAACAACACUCCUGUCACAAUUGUUGGUGAUUUCAACACACACUUUUUGUUUUGGUCUUUUUAGGGCCACACCCAUGGCAUAUGGAAGUUCCCAGGCUAGGAGUCUAAUCAGAGCUGUUGCUGCUGGCCUACACCACAGCCAUAGCAACGCCAGAGCCUAGCUGCAUCUGCGACCUACACACAGCUGAUGGCAACACUGGAUCCUUAACCCACUGAGCAAGGCCAGGGAUUGAACCUGAAGCCUCAUGGUUCCUAUGUGCUUGGGCUGUGGGAUGGAAAUCCUGCGAAAUCAGAUUGUUAUGAUCAUUAUACAACUACAGAUGUGAUAAAUUCAUUUGAGUAAUAAAAAAAAAAUGAAAAAAAAAGAAACCUUAUGGUUCCUAGUCGGAUUCAUUUCUGCUAUCUCACCCUCCAUCCCACCCAAUGUUAUGCCCAGGCUUGGUCAUUACCAAUAACUGUAGCCCCUCUCUUAGUGUUCACCACUUCAAGUCACGCCUGUUGAGGAAAAAAUAAUGCAACACUUGCCAAAAUGGUAAGGAAGACCUUAUUCAGAGCUAUUGUGAUGGGUGUCAAGACUCACAUAGGGGUGAGAGAGGGGGAUCAACCUCAAAUAUGGCAAAGACAGCUGGGGGUUAAUAGCCAACAAGUAGAAUGAGGGGGUCAGUGAAUGGAAAUUGACUAAGAAGAAACACCAAGUGUAGGGGGAUUCUAGCUAGAGACUUAACAAGAUUCUCACUGAAGGCAGGUCAAGGUGAUGGACACGAAGGGUGAGGAGACUCUCUCUAAACUGGGCGAGGCAGGUCCAGCAAGGAUGGGGGCCAAGGUCGAGGCCUAAUCCAAAAGAGGGCUCAGAGGAACCAGACUGAAUUUUGCUCAAGGAGAAGAUCUUUGUCACGCCCUGACCCCAAGAACCCUCCAUCUUACUGGACCCCUCCCCCCAUUCGCUGAUCCUGCCCUCUGCCCACUGUCCCCAACUCACUGCUCUUCUCCCCUAGCUUAAGGUUCACAGUCAGUGAAAAGUGCUCCUUUGCCCCUCUCUCACUUUAUUACACAUUCUGGCAAAAUCACAGCCCAGGUAAAUGCAACUCUCCAUCUACCCUGUGCCUGCCCACACAGCUGAGUACGGCUGGAGGAAAUACCCAACCAUGGCAGCCAUUCAUUUCAAAUUCAUGACCUUGAACCUCAAGGGGCCACUAAUGCUGCCCAGCGCUCAGAGAGUAUUUCAUCUCUGGUCUAUUCACUCUCCUACGGUCUGAGAUGACUCUUAAACCUUCACCCCUCUCUACAGUGCUUCCUGUACCAGUCUCACUCUCAGCUCACUACCCUGCUUCCCAAUUCACUGAGAAGACGAGAGCCAUCAGAAACAAGUCCAGGGAGUUCCCGCUGUGGCUCAGUGGUUAAGAACCCGUGAGGAUGAGGGUUUGAUCCCUGGCCUCACUCAGUGCGUUAAGGAGACAGCAUUGCUGUGGGCUGCGGUAUAGGUCACAGAUGUGGCUCGGAUCCAGCGUUGCUGUGGCUGUGGUGUAGGUGGGCAGCUGCAGCUCUGAUUCAACCCCUAGCCUGGGAACUUCCAUAUAUCACAGGUGCAGCCCUAAAAAGAAAAAAAAAAUUAUUGAAUAAAAAUAAUUUAUUGAAUCUACUACAUACACACACCCCAUUACUGUUUAAUUUCUUUGUUGUUUCUUCUUUAGAGCAAAACUUUUUUUUUUUUUUUUUUUGCUACACCCACAAAAGGGAAACUUCUCAUCAAGUUACCAGUGACUUCCAUGGUCAAUGCAAGGGUCAUUGCUCCAUCUUCAUUUUACUAAACUACCAGCAUCACCUGACCUACUGGUCCACUACCUUCUCCUCCAACACUUUCCUCAUAUGGCCUCUAGGACACCACACUCUCAUGGAUUUCCUCCUGCUCAGUUUCCUUUGCUGGUUCUUCCUCAUCUCUUGUCUGAACCCUGGAGCACCCCUAGGUGUCGGAGAAACAGCCAAGAGGCCACUGUGGGAUGGAGGCUCCACUGAGCACUGGAAGCUCAGUCCACAGACUUCUUUCCACCCUUUACACCCACUCUCUUGGUGAUCUCACCCAAUCUCCUAGUUUUAAAUACCAUCUAUAUAACAGUGCCCCAUGGGUGUAUCUCCAGCCCGAAUCUCGACCCUGAACUUCAGACUGUAUGUCCAACAACAUACUAACAACUCUUCCUGGACAUCAAACUGGCAACUCAAGCUUGGCAUGUCCAACACUCAGCCCCACAACCUACUCCUCUUGUGUCUAUCCCAUGUUCCCGGUUUCUGGUGUCAAAACCUUGGUGUUACGCUUGCAUACUCCUUCAACCUCCCCCAUAUCCAACCCACCAGCAAUUCCUUUUGCCUCUGUUUUAAAAAUAUAACCAGUAGCCAACUACAAUUUACCACCCUAGUCCGAGUCACCGUCAUCUCUUAACUGUAUUAUUGCAACAGCCCCCUAACUCAUAUGCCUGCUUCUGCCCCGGCCCCUGAUCUGUCUAUUCUAAACAAAUCAGAGUGUUGCUAUUAAAGCAAGUAUCCAUUCAUGAUGCUUCUUCUUUUUUUUUUUUAAUGGUUGUUCCUGUGGCAUAUGGGAGUUCCCAGCCUAGGAGUCUAAUCGGAGCUACAGCUGCAGGCAUACGCCACAGCCUGGCAACACCAGAUCCUAGCCACAUCUGUGAACUAUGCUGCACUUUGCAGCAAUGCUGGAUCCUUAAUGCACUGAGUGAGGCCAGGGAUUGGACCUACAUCCUCACAGACACUAUGUCAGGUUCUUAACCUGAUGAGCCACAACAGGAACUUGUGACGCUUCUCUUUCCCAAACUGUCCAGUGGGGAGUUCCUGCUAUAGUGCAGCAGGUUAAGAAUCUGGUGUUAAAAAAAAAAAGAAAAAAAAAAAA
rnacentral:lncRNA from 1 species